CUAGCCUCGAAUCAGGUGGGA
rnacentral:rRNA from 1 species